rnacentral:piRNA from 1 species
GAUGGAAGUGGAGGUGUCCAUUGCUC